rnacentral:rRNA from 1 species
GACGAACGCUGGCGGCGUGCUUAACACAUGCAAGUCGAACGGACCCAAGCUUUAAGUUUACUUAGAGCUGACGGUUAGUGGCGGACGGGUGAGUAACACGUGGAUAAUCUGCCUAUGACACAGGAAUAACACUGUGAAAACGGUGCUAAUACCAGAUACACUUAUCGGGUCGCAUGUCCUGAUAAGGAAAGGAGCAAUCCGGUCAUAGAUGAGUCCGCGGCUGAUUAGCUAGUUGGUAGGGUAAAGGCCUACCAAGGCGAUGAUCAGUAGCCGGCCUGAGAGGGUGAUCGGCCACAUUGGGACUGAGACACGGCCCAAACUCCUACGGGAGGCAGCAGUGGGGAAUUUUGGACAAUGGGGGCAACCCUGAUCCAGCCAUGCCGCGUGAGUGAAGAAGGCCUUCGGUUGUAAGUACUCUUUCGGCCGGGAGAAAUACGCAUGGGCUAAUAACCCUGUGCGGAUGACGGUACCGGCGAUAAGAAGACACCGGCUAACUACGUGCC